rnacentral:rRNA from 1 species
AGUGAACGCUGGCGGUAGGCCUGACACAUGCAAGUCGAACGGCAGCACAGUAAGAGCUUGCUCUUACGGGUGGCGAGUGGCGGACGGGUGAGGAAUACAUCGGAAUCUACUUUUUCGUGGGGGAUAACGUAGGGAAACUUACGCUAAUACCGCAUACGACCUACGGGUGAAAGCAGGGGAUCUUCGGACCUUGCGCGAUUGAAUGAGCCGAUGUCGGAUUAGCUAGUUGGCGGGGUAAAGGCCCACCAAGGCGACGAUCCGUAGCUGGUCUGAGAGGAUGAUCAGCCACACUGGAACUGGGACACGGUCCAGACUCCUACGGGAGGCAGCAGUGGGGAAUAUUGGACAAUGGGCGCAAGCCUGAUCCAGCCAUACCGCGUGGGUGAAGAAGGCCUUCGGGUUGUAAAGCCCUUUUGUUGGGAAAGAAAAGCAGCAGGUUAAUACCCCGCUGUUCUGACGGUACCCAAAGAAUAAGCACCGGCUAACUUCGUG